rnacentral:rRNA from 1 species
AGAGUUUGAUCCUGGCUCAGGAUGAACGCUGGCGGCGUGCUUAACACAUGCAAGUCGAACGAAGCACUUUACUUUGAUUCCUUCGGGUUGAUUAGUACUGUGACUGAGUGGCGGACGGGUGAGUAACGCGUGGGUAACCUGCCCCAUACAGGGGGAUAACAGAUAGAAAUGUCUGCUAAUACCGCAUAAGACCACAGCGCCGCAUGGUGCAGGGGUAAAAACUCCGGUGGUAUGGGAUGGACCCGCGUCUGAUUAGCUGGUUGGUGAGGUAAAGGCUCACCAAGGCGACGAUCAGUAGCCGACCUGAGAGGGUGACCGGCCACAUUGGGACUGAGACACGGCCCAAACUCCUACGGGAGGCAGCAGUGGGGAAUAUUGCACAAUGGGGGAAACCCUGAUGCAGCGACGCCGCGUGAAGGAUGAAGUAUUUCGGUAUGUAAACUUCUAUCAGCAGGGAAGAAAAUGACGGUACCUGACUAAGAAGCCCCGGCUAACUACGUG